AUUGAACGCUGGCGGCAUGCCUUACACAUGCAAGUCGAACGGCAGCACGGGGGCAACCCUGGUGGCGAGUGGCGAACGGGUGAGUAAUGCAUCGGAACGUGCCCGGAAGUGGGGGAUAACGUAGCGAAAGUUACGCUAAUACCGCAUAUUCUGUGAGCAGGAAAGCAGGGGAUCGCAAGACCUUGCGGUUUCGGAGCGGCCGAUGUCGGAUUAGCUAGUUGGUGGGGUAAAGGCUUACCAAGGCGACGAUCCGUAGCUGGUCUUAGAGGAUGAUCAGCCACACUGGGACUGAGACACGGCCCAGACUCCUACGGGAGGCAGCAGUGGGGAAUUUUGGACAAUGGGGGCAACCCUGAUCCAGCCAUGCCGCGUGAGUGAAGAAGGCCUUCGGGUUGUAAAGCUCUUUCGGACAGAAAGAAAUCGCAUCGGCUAAUACUCGAUGUGGAUGACGGUACUGUCAUAAGAAGCACCGGCUAACUACGUGCCAGCCGCCGCGGUAAAAC
rnacentral:rRNA from 1 species